rnacentral:rRNA from 1 species
UACGUAGGGGGCAAGCGUUGUCCGGAUUUACUGGGCGUAAGGAGCGCGCAGGCGGUCGUUCAAGUCGCGUGUGAAAGCCCCCGGCUCAACUGGGGAGGGUCACGCGAUACUGAUCGACUCGAAGGCAGGAGAGGGAAGUGGAAUUCCCGGUGUAGUGGUGAAAUGCGUAGAUAUCGGGAGGAACACCAGUGGCGAAGGCGACUUCCUGGCCUGUUCUUGACGCUGAGGCGCGAAAGCUAGGGGAGCAAACGGG